GACAGACUUUUUGCCUUGGUUCCUACUGAACUGAGACAGUACGUGAGAGCCUAGUGCCUCAGUUAGGACAUGAACCGAGGCAGUAGAGUGUUUUUUAUUUUUAUUUUUUUGCUUUUUUGCCAGCCUUUCUACAUCGUUGUGACCUGAACUGAUGCCAUAGAGGGCUUUUUGCGUCGAUUAUGGUCACAACUGAGGCAUAUUCCCC
rnacentral:lncRNA from 1 species